rnacentral:tRNA from 1 species
GGGCCUAUAGCUCAGCUGGUUAGAGCGCACGCCUGAUAAGCGUGAGGUCGGUGGUUCGAAUCCACUUAGGCCCACCA